rnacentral:rRNA from 1 species
GAUGAACGCUAGCGGCAGGCUUAACACAUGCAAGUCGAGGGGCAGCGGGGGGCGCGCUUGCGCGUCCCGCCGGCGACCGGCGCACGGGUGAGUAACACGUAUGCAACCUGCCCCCGCCAGGGGUACAACCCUCCGAAAGGGGGGCUGAUACCGCGUACAUCCCCCGGGGGCAUCCCCGGGGGAGGAAAGCCCUACGGGGCGGGCGGGGAUGGGCAUGCGGCGCAUUAGGAAGACGGCGGUGUGACGGACCACCGUUCCGACGAUGCGUAGGGGUUCUGAGAGGAAGGCCCCCCACAUUGGAACUGAGACACGGUCCAA